rnacentral:rRNA from 1 species
GACGAACGCUGGCGGCGUGCUUAACACAUGCAAGUCGAACGGACAGGCCCUGCUUUUGUGGAGUGCUCGAAUGGAGAACGGGUGAGUAACACGUCUGUACCCUGUCCUUGCCUUUGGGAUAACUUCAGGCAACAGGGGCUAAUACCGGAUAGGAGCUCCUGCUGAAUGGUGGGGGUUGGAUAGUUUCGGCGGUUGGGGAUGGAAUCGCCGCGUAUCAGCUUGUUGGUGGGGUAGUGUCAUACCAAGGCUUUGACAGGUAGCCGGCCUGAGAGGAUGACCGGCCACAUUGGGACUGAGAUACGGCCCAGACUCCUACGGUAGGCAGCGGUGGGGAAUGUUGCACAAGGGGCGGAGGCCUAGUGCAACAACGCCGCGUGGGGGAUGACGUCCUGCGGGUUGUAAACCGCAUUCGCCUGUGACGAAGCGUUAGUGACGGUAAUGGGAAAAGAAGCACCGGCUAACUACGUG